GGGGGCAGAGUAUAGCUCAGUGGUAGAGCGCAUGUUUGGCAUGCAUGAGGUCCUGGGUUCAAUCCCCAGUGCCUCCA